AGAACGAACGCUGGCGGCAUGCCUAACACAUGCAAGUCGAACGAGACCUUCGGGUCUAGUGGCGCACGGGUGCGUAACGCGUGGGAAUCUGCCCUUGGGUUCGGGAUAACAGUUGGAAACGACUGCUAAUACCGGAUGAUGACUUCGGUCCAAAGAUUUAUCGCCCAGGGAUGAGCCCGCGUAAGAUUAGCUAGUUGGUGGGUAAAGGCCUACAAGGCAACGAUCUUUAGCUGGUCUGAGAGGAUGAUCAGCCACACUGGGACUGAGACACGGCCCAGACUCCUACGGGAGGCAGCAGUGGGGAAUAUUGGACAAGUGGGCGAAAGCCUGAUCCAGCAAUGCCGCGUGAGUGAUGAAGGCCUUAGGGUGUAAAGCUCUUUACCCGGGAUGAUAAUGACAGCGACCGGAAGAAUAACGCCCGGACUAACGUCCGCGCCAGCAGCCGAC
rnacentral:rRNA from 1 species